rnacentral:rRNA from 1 species
GUGCAGCAGGCGCGAAUACUUUACAAUGUGCGAAAGCACGAUAAGGGAACUCUGAGUGCCUCCUAAGGAGGCUGUUCAGGUGUCUAAAAGCACCUGGAGUAAGGGCUGGGUAAGACCGGUGCCAGCCGCCGCGGUAACACCGGCAGCCCAGGUGGUAGCCACUUUUAUUGGGUCUAAAGCGUCCGUAGCCGGUUGAAUAAGUUCCUUGGGAAAUUUGGCUGCUCAACAGACAAGCUUCCAGGGAAUACUGCUCGACUUGGGACUGGGAGAGGUCAGAGGUACUCCAGGGGUAGGGGUGAAAUCCAUUAAUCCCUGGGGGACCACCGGUAGCGAAGGCGUCUGACCAGACCAGGUCCGACGGUGAGGGACGAAGGCUAGGGGCGCGAACCGGAUUAGAUA